rnacentral:rRNA from 1 species
UACAGAGGUCCCAAGCGUUGUUCGGAUUCACUGGGCGUAAAGGGUGCGUAGGUGGUGAGGUAAGUCGGAUGUGAAAGCUCCGAGCUCAACUCGGAAAUGGCAUUGGAAACUACCUUGCUAGAGGGUUUGAGGGGGGGACUGGAAUACUUGGUGUAGCAGUGAAAUGCGUAGAUAUCAAGUGGAACACCAGUGGCGAAGGCGAGUCCCCUGGAAAACUCCUGACACUGAGGCACGGAAAAGCUAGGGGAGCAAACAGG